rnacentral:rRNA from 1 species
UACAGAGGAGCCAAGCGUUGUCCGGAUUGACUGGGCGUAAAGCGCACGCAGGCGGAUGCGCGCGUGGGGUGUGAAAUCUGGCCGCUUAACGGCCAGGCGCCAUCCCAUACGGCGCGUCUGGAGUGAUGCAGAGGUCGGUGGAAUUGCCGGUGUAGCGGUGAAAUGCGUAGAGAUCGGCAGGAACACCCAGGGGGAAACCAGCCGACUGGGCAUCUACUGACGCUGAGGUGCGAGAGCGUGGGGAGCGAACCGG